UACGUAGGGUACGAGCGUUGUCCGGAAUUAUUGGGCGUAAAGGGCUCGUAGGCGGUUUGUCGCGUCGGGAGUGAAAACCCAGGGCUUAACUCUGGGCUUGCUUUCGAUACGGGCAGACUAGAGGUAUGCAGGGGAGAACGGAACUCCUGGUGUAGCGGUGAAAUGCGCAGAUAUCAGGAGGAACACCGGUGGCGAAGGCGGUUCUCUGGGCAUUACCUGACGCUGAGGAGCGAAAGUGUGGGGAGCGAACAGG
rnacentral:rRNA from 1 species